CCCCACCUCCGGUUUAGAUUUCUUUUGCAGGUCCCGAUGGCGAUCGCGACUCCCUCGACUCUAGCUUCUCUGGCGCAGGUGGAUUUUUGCACCAACAGGAUUGGCACUAGAGGAAGGGUGGCUGUGUCUUCGCAGCACCCUUGUUCUUAAAGGAGUGCUCAACGGGACCACCUCUGGUCAUCUUUUUUUGGCAUCCUCUCCUCCUUCCCCCAUUAGAUCUUCGCCCGAUGCCUUCUCGUGAAGCAUCCACACGGUGACCCACGGCCUCCGCAGCCAGAUAUCAGGCUCCAACCUCGCCUCCAGUUUCCCAGGCC
rnacentral:lncRNA from 1 species